rnacentral:rRNA from 1 species
CCUACGGGUGGCAGCAGUGAGGAAUAUUGGUCAAUGGACGCAAGUCUGAACCAGCCAUGCCGCGUGCAGGAAGACGGCUCUAUGAGUUGUAAACUGCUUUUGUACGAGGGUAAACGCAGAUACGCGUAUCUGUCUGAAAGUAUCGUACGAAUAAGGAUCGGCUAACUCCGUGCCAGCAGCCGCGGUAAUACGGAGGAUUCAAGCGUUAUCCGGAUUUAUUGGGUUUAAAGGGUGCGUAGGCGGUCGGAUAAGUUAGAGGUGAAAUCCCGAGGCUCAACUUCGGAAUUGCCUCUGAUACUGUUCGGCUAGAGAGUAGUUGCGGUAGGCGGAAUGUAUGGUGUAGCGGUGAAAUGCUUAGAGAUCAUACAGAACCCCGAUUGCGAAGGCAGCUUACCAAGCUACUUCUGACGUUGAGGCACGAAAGCGUGGGGAGCGAACAGGAUUAGAUACCCUAGUAGUC